rnacentral:tRNA from 1 species
GGAGUGGUAGUUCAGUUGGUUAGAAUACCUGCCUGUCACGCAGGGGUCGCGGGUUCGAGUCCCGUCCAUUCCGCCA